UAACAUUGCAGCCAUACAGCCCUUUGGAGCAAGAUGCAGCAGACCAUGGACAGAGAUCUGUUGAAUUCAUCCUCCCAGACUAAUUUCUGACAAAUUUCAAGAUUCUUUAAAAAGGCACAUGAAUUAACAGUGGGGGGAAAGCAUAAAUAAAGAUUUGUGUUUCCUCUAAGGGGGUUUCUAUCACCACAAAGAAAACCACCUUCAUUGAGGGUCCAGAAAAGCCAAACUAAAAUUAACACUAUUUUCAAACAAAUUGCUCAUAUAAUUUUAAAAUUCUUAAAGUCUAUAAAAUAUUUUUAUAAAGAUUGACAUACAAUAUAAAAAAGUCAUUAAUUUCUAGUUUGAGAAUUUAUGUACAUGUGAAAGUAAUGAACAGCCAUUACACAAAAAUCAUUCAAAAUGCAAUGACAACACCGGAUAACAUUAAACAGUAUUUCAAUAUCCUCAGAAUGAAGUACAGUUUGAACCCUUUCAUUAAUAAAAAUAUUCCCCACUAUAUUAGUCUAACAAGAAGAAUUAAAUAUUCCAUUGAUCAGUAAACAGAAUAGCCACAAAGCACUGUUGGUUUUGCCUCCAAAUUAGCACAGCCUAAUUCAUUUAUAAAUGUACAAAAGAAAAAUGAAGCAUUGCUAGUCUGAAAAAAAUUACCAGCUUUCAGGAAACAAUUCGCUAUCCUUUCUUUGGUAACUUACUAUGAUUUCUGUAAUUUAUUUAUCCCAGGAUGUACCUGGUAUAUCAUCAGCUUUAGGUGGUUUUGUUAAACUGGCUAUCCAAAAAUGAGUCAUAUUAUGCAUAAUUCUGCAUUAUUUAGGCUAUUCGGAAGGCACACCAUUGCUACUUCCCAAAUGACAAACUCAGAGCUAUUAAUACCUACAAGCACAAAAUUAUAACUCAAUAUAUUGAAUUCUACAAUUACAAUUCAAUACACUAAGAUGCAAAGUCCUGCCUCUGAGAUGGAAUAACCCCAUGCAACAUUACAGGCUGGGGGCCAACUGGCUAGAAAGCCUAUUUGCAAGGGAAGAAACUGGAGGUCCCUGUGGACAAACUGAGCAUGAGCCAGCAGUGUGCCCUGGCAGCAAAGGCAGCCAACAGCAUCCCAGGCUGUUUUAAGAGAAGCACUGCCGGCAGGUUGAGGGACCUGGUAAUUUCCCUCUUCCUGGCAUUUGAGAGACUGAAUCGGGAGCAACGGUCCAGCUCUGGUCUUCCCAGGACAAGGCAAAUACUGAAACAGUGAAGCAAGACAACUGGGAGGCUGCAGUGUGAUAUGCAAGAUAGACAAGAAGCUGAGAGAGCUGGGCUUGCACAGCCUGGGGAAGAGCAGCUGAGGGUGCGAGCUUAUUGCUGCCUGCAACAGCCUAACAAGGGAAGAUGGAACAAGGCUCCUUGCAGAGAUGCACAGGGACAUGACAAGAGGCAAUGGACACAAUCUGAACUAUUCCAAUUCAAUAUAAGGAAAAAAAAAUUACCUUGAGGGUAGUCAAACACUGGGCUAGGUUGCCAAGAAACACUGUGGCAUCAGCAUCCUUGGACAGAGUCCAGCUUGAAUGGAGAUGGCCCUGUGUAACCUGCUCUAAUUGGACCUGCACCGAGCAAGAGAACAGCCACGGAGAUUGGAGAAGACAUGUUUCUUC